rnacentral:tRNA from 1 species
GGAGAGGUCGCAUAGCGGUCUAGUGCGCACGCUUGGAAAGCGUGUGACCCGAAAGGGUCCGAGGGUUCGAAUCCCUCCCUCUCCG